CAGCCGCCGCGGGAAUACAGAGGGUGCGAGCGUUAAUCGGAUUUACUGGGCGUAAAGCGUGCGUAGGCGGCUUCUUAAGUCGGAUGUGAAAUCCCUGAGCUUAACUUAGGAAUUGCAUUCGAUACUGGGAAGCUAGAGUAUGGGAGAGGAUGGUAGAAUUCCAGGUGUAGCGGUGAAAUGCGUAGAGAUCUGGAGGAAUACCGAUGGCGAAGGCAGCCAUCUGGCCUAAUACUGACGCUGAGGUACGAAAGCAUGGGGAGCAAACAGGAUUAGAUACCCCCGUAGUCCCUGUAUCUUAUAC
rnacentral:rRNA from 1 species